rnacentral:rRNA from 1 species
GACGAACCGUGCAAACGUUAUUCGGAAUCACUGGGCUUAAGCGUGCGUAGGCGGCUGAGAAAGUUGGGUGUGAAAUCCCUCGGCUCAACCGAGGAAUUGCGCUCAAAACUACUUGGCUUGAGGGAGUUAGAGGUGAGCGGAACUAAUGGUGGAGCGGUGAAAUGCGUUGAUAUCAUUAGGAACACCGGUGGCGAAAGCGGCUCACUGGGACUCUUCGUGACGCUGA